UUAGUGGCGGACGGGUGAGUAACGCGUGGGCAAUCUGCCCGUAAGAGGGGGAUAACACCUAGAAAUGGGUGCUAAUACCGCAUAACAUCAUAGGGUUGCAUGACCUUGUGAUCAAAGGAGAAAUCCGCUUAUGGAUGAGCCCGCGUCUGAUUAGCUAGUUGGUGGGGUAACGGCCUACCAAGGCGACGAUCAGUAGCCGGCCUGAGAGGGUGAUCGGCCACACUGGAACUGAGACACGGUCCAGACUCCUACGGGAGGCAGCAGUGGGGAAUCUUCCGCAAUGGGCGAAAGCCUGACGGAGCAACGCCGCGUGAGUGAUGAAGGCCUUCGGGUUGUAAAACUCUGUCUUCAGGGAAGAAAAAAAUGACGGUACCUGAGGAGGAAGCCACGGCUAACUACGUGCCAGCAGCCGCGGUAAUACGUAGGUGGCAAGCGUUGUCCGGAAUUACUGGGCGUAAAGAGCGCGUAGGCGGGGAUUUAAGUCAGGAGUGAAAACUACCGGCUCAACCGGUAGCCUGCUCUUGAAACUGAAUCUCUUGAGGGUAUGAGAGGAAAGCGGAAUUCCCAGUGUAGCGGUGAAAUGCGUAGAUAUUGGGAGGAACACCAGUGGCGAAGGCGGCUUUCUGGCAUACAACUGACGCUGAGGCGCGAAAGCGUGGGGAGUAAACGGGAUUAGAUACCCCGGUAGUCCACGCCGUAAACGAUGGGCACUAGGUGUAGGAGGUAUCGACCCCUUCUGUGCCGUAGUUAACACAAUAAGUGCCCCGCCUGGGGAGUACGGCCGCAAGGUUGAAACUCAAAGGAAUUGACGGGGGCCCGCACAAGCGGUGGAGUAUGUGGUUUAAUUCGACGCAACGCGAAGAACCUUACCAGGGCUUGACAUCC
rnacentral:rRNA from 1 species